AGUGAACGCUGGCGGUAGGCCUAACACAUGCAAGUCGAACGGCAGCACAGGAGAGCUUGCUCUCUGGGUGGCGAGUGGCGGACGGGUGAGGAAUACAUCGGAAUCUACCUUUUCGUGGGGGAUAACGGAGGGAAACUUACGCUAAUACCGCAUACGACCUACGGGUGAAAGUGGGGGACCGCAAGGCCUCACGCGAUUAGAUGAGCCGAUGUCCGAUUAGCUAGUUGGCGGGGUAAUGGCCCACCAAGGCGACGAUCGGUAGCGGGUCUGAGAGGGUGAUCAGCCACACUGGAACGGAGACACGGGCCAGACUCCUACGGGAGGCAGCAGUGGGGAAUAUUGGACAAUGGGCGCAAGCCUGAUCCAGCCAUACCGCGUGGGUGAAGAAGGCCUUCGGGUUGUAAAGCCCUUUUGUUGGGAAAGAAAUCCUGUCGAUUAAUACUCGGUGGGGAUGACGGUACCCGAGGAGGAAGCCACGGCUAACUACGUGCCAGCCGCCGCCGUAA
rnacentral:rRNA from 1 species